AACUCAUUUUCCAGAAAUCUUCUCCUUGAGGCAGAGACCAGAGGAUCUUUCUGGAUGGAAUCUGUGGAAUGACACUGGGACAGCCCCAACUAGGUGACCUAGCCACACCACCCUGCAGUGAAGCUCAAAGUUAACAGGCCCCACUUAUGGCCCCUGGUUUCCAAUAACCAUUUCAGUGCCAUUCCUGAAUAUGAAGAGACGUAGGGGCAUGUCAGAGGGGAAACUCUGACACAAAGAUGGACCCCAAGGUACAGAUGGAGAUGGAUCAAGAAGGAGACAGAGAAUAAGAAUUUGGAGGAAACACAGAUUUUUGCAAGAAGAAUGUUGAAAACAAAAAGAUUAUUAAUAGCCUCAGAAAGAUAAAAGAAGAUAUUGCAACCAGACAAGAUGUCAUAAAAAUUAAUAUUCAGAGAACAAAAAGGAAAUCCUAGAAAUUAAAGUCAUGAUAGCUGAAAUGAAAAGCUCAAUAGAAAGUUGAGAAGAUAAAAAGACACAAAAUAGAUAAAAAGAUUAAAAAGCUGGAAGUUAAGGACAAAUUUUUUUCAAAUUAAAGGACUAGUCCGUGAGGUCCAGUAUUCAAAUAACAUGCCUUUUGGAUUUUGUUUUUUUUCUUAAGAUUUAUUUAUUUAUUUGACAGACAGAGAUCAUAAGUAGGCAGAGAGGCAGGCAGAGAGAGAGAGAGAGAAGCAGGCUCCCCGCUGAGCAGAGACCCUGACUUGAGGCUCUCUCCCAGGACGCUGGGAUCAUGACCUGAGCCGAAGGCAGAGGCCUUAACCCAUUGACCUACCCAGGUGCCCCAUCAAAUAACAUGCAUUUUGGAAAAAAAAGAUAAUCAAAUAGAGAUUGGGUGGGGACACAUGAGGGAGGAAUCUAAAACCCCCAGAAGAUGAAUUGCCCAUCAUAACGACCCAUCAAGUGCCCACCUUGGCACAGCACCCCAAAACCUCAGGAUGCAGGAGGCAAAAAAGAUCCUAUAAGUUUCCAGAGACAGAGAAAGACUGAAGAGAAAAGAUCAAGAAUCAGAUUGUUAUCCACCUGGAAUCGGCUAUCUAUCAGACCACCACUGGAUGGCAUUUGUAUUUGUCUCCCAUUGCUGCUACAAAAGAUAACCACACAUUUGAUGCCUUAUGACAACAUAAACUUCUUAUCUCUACAGUUGUGGCGGUCAGGAAUCCCAAACCGGUCUCAGUGGACUGAACUCAACCAGCAGGCUGAGCUGCAUUUCUUCUGGAAACUCUGGAAAAUCUGAUUCUUUGCCUUUUCUAGCUUUUGGAGGUCACCUGUAUUCUUUGGCUCAUGGCCCCUCUAUCUUCAAAGCCAGCGAAAACACAUCCUCAAGUCUCUCUCUCUCUUUCCCCCACCCCACCUCUGUCUCUACUCUCACAUCUUCUUCUGUGACUCUAACUCUCCUGCCUCUCUCUUAUGAGGACCCUUGUGGCUAUAUUUGAUCCACCAGGAUAAUCUCCUUGUUUCAAAAUCCUUAAUUUAAUCGCACCUGUAAAGUCCCUUUUGUCAUGUAAAAUAAGAGGUUCACAGGUUCCAGGGAUUAUGGCCAGGGCAUCUUUGGGAUGGGGCAUUAUUCUACUCACCCACAGCUUUGGACUUUUAAAGAGCAACACUAGAACCUAGCUGGCAGGGAAUUAAGCCUCUUUUCCAGCCUGGAAGACCUCUCUCUCCGCAAACUAUCAGUCAAGUGUGAGAGUAAAAUAAAGAAAUUUUCAAAUGUAAGAUUCUCAAGAAAUUUGCCUCCCACACAUCCUAUCUGAAGAGGCUCUUGGAGGAUGUUCUCAAACAAAUGACUCAACCAAGAAAGAGAAGGCACUAGGGAUCCAGGAAAUAGUAGAUCCCACAUAGGGACAAAGGAAAGGGUACAGGAAACAUGGUGUUGGAGAGGCAUUCCAGAAGGACAGCUGUGCAGCAGUAAGUUGGAGUGGUUCAGAAGAUUCCAGAAGAGACUUCCUCAGAGAGAUGAACUGAGAGCGUAUCUGAGAGAGAGACAGAGAGAGAGAGAAAGAGAGAGAGAGAGAGAGAAUGAGUAAGGGGAGGGGCAGAAGAUGAGAGAAUCCCAAGCAGACUCCCUGCUGAGCACUGAGCCUGACCCGGGACUCAAUCCCAUGACCCUGAGAUCGUGACCUGAGCCGAAAUCAAGAGUUGGACACUGAACUAACUGAGCCACCCCGGCUCCCCAAAAGGUGCCAUGGGAGAACAAAGGACACAAAGGGUAGGACGCCUGCCCUCACAGGAGUUCACAGCCUAUGAGACAUAAAACGUGUCCAGAAAAGGAGCCCAUGCAUGGAGAAUGGUGAGUGCCCUGAGUCCGGUCAAGGGGAGUGCCUCUAGAGGGGAGGGAGAGAUUCAAUCAGUUUUAAUGGACAGGGUGCGCAUUGAAGGGUGCCUUAAAAUAUUCAGAGAGUUGUUCCUAGUGGGAUGGAAAGAAGAGGCAAAAAUAUUCCAGCCCACUCCCAAAAAGGCAGCAUGAACAAAAUUGGGAUUUCCUGACUCUCCGGGAUCCGAAAUGUUAAAAUAUUUAUCACUGCACUCUGGACAGCUGCAACCUCCCUACACGCCAUUGUCUUGGGCAGAGACGCCCCCAGGUUGGAGCAAAUAAAACUGCCAAUCUGCCUCCAAAGCACUCUAAAAAGUCCCCAAUAAACAGGCUGUGAAAAGUCCACUUUGCUCAAAUUUGAGAGGUGCAGAUAAAAACCACACUGGUAGGGAGAGGGCACCUGGGUGGCUCAGUGGGUUGGGCCUCUGCCUUCAGCUCUGUUCAUAAUCUCAGGGUCCUGGGAUUGGGCCCUCAUUGGGCUCUCUGCUCAGCGGGGAGCCUGCUUCCCCCGCUCUCUCUGCCUGCCUCUCUGCCUACUUGUGAUCUCUCUCUCUGUCAAAUACAUAAAUUUUUUUAAAAGAUUAAAAAAAAACACACUGGGAAUCCAAUGAGCCUUAUCAGUGUGUAUAUAUUAAAUUUAAAAAUAGAUGGGAACCUUGGAAAUCAUCUGCUUCACUCUCAUGUCAGAAGGGACAACUGGGAUUCAAUGGCAGGAAAGUCUCAAGGUCACACCCCAAGCUCGUGGCAGAGCAAGGGUAAAAUCCAUGGUUCCUCAACUUCAGAGGGAGCUGAUCUUCAGCUGGGACAGGACCCACUUCUGACUUAAUUAGUAAAUAGCUAUUUCCCUGAGCCCUCUAAGGGCCAUGGCCCAUCCCAGCUGCCCUGUCUUCUACCCUAGAACCUGCCAGACAUGUUCACAGUCUGCAACCUACAGGCCUAGCCACCAGAACGGCUAAAAUGUAAAAGACUGAUGGUACCUUAUGCUAGUCUAGGGAUAGCAUGACUGGAAGUCUCACACAUCAUUGGUCAGAGUGUAAAAUGAUAUGACUACUUUAGAAAAAAGUCUGACACUUUCUUAUAAA